UAAAAGACGAAGCAGAUGUGAUGCAGAUGUGAUUUUUGAAGAGUAGGAAGAUAUCCUGUGUGCUGUGGAGCUUUUACACUUGUUACUUGCUGCUCAAAUUCGCUUGGUGCAGGUCGGGAAUGCCUUUGUGUUGUAGAAAAGCUUUCAUAAGAUGCAUUGACCAUUCCCCGCCUACAUCAAUUGAAUUGGAGCCCCAUAGUGAAGACUGCAAACUAUGUCAGGAUGGAUCCAGUCUCUAUACAAAUGGCCUUUGCUGAGUAAUGGGUAUUCCAUAUAUGCAAGCAGUCUACGCAUAUGUGCCCUGAAAAUUGACAUUUUUCUCUUCUGUUACUUGAGUAAGUGACUGAAGGCCGAAGUGAAGAUUGUAUCUUUGCAGCUAGACUGACACCAAUGGCAUAUUUAUGGUUAUUAAAGUAUUUUUGUGAAUCCAUCUACAGAUAUCAAGUAAAUUGCUCCGGAUGAAAUGGCAAGUGUGAUAAGAAUGCGAAAUAUGCUCGCAUGGCAGGCAUUCUCUUUCCACCCUGAUAUAUGAGGAAUAUGUCAAAAAGUCAUCAAUGUGAAACCUGCUAGUACGGUGUUUCUGGCACAUUGGAGUGUAUAUGUAAAUUCAUCGAAGCCCAGGCAGACCCUGACUGCAUGGCACUGGUAAGAAACACUUAGAGACAUUCUUUGCAACUUGUGCUUUGCUCAUGCACUAAUGAAUUCACAUAUUUUUUUCAUGGACAAAACUGCUAUUCGCUUCAUUGGCAACAUCUCCCUAAUAAUCAGAUUCAGUUCCAUAGUAGUUGGCAAAAAUCAAGGAGGCUGAUCGAACAUAAUCUGGUUUUAAUGUCUGAUGCAUGUUACCAGUGAAUGCAUCUACAGAUAUCAAGUAAAUUGCUCCGGAUGAAAUGGCAAGUGUGAUAAGAAUGCGAAAUAUGCUCGCACGGCAGGCAUUCUCUUUCCACCCUGAUAUAUGAGGAAUAUGUCAAAAAGUCAUCAAUGUGAAACCUGCUAGUACGGUGUUUCUGGCACAUUGGAGUGUAUAUGUAAAUUCAUCGAAGCCCAGGGAGACCCUGACUGCAUGGCACUGGUAAGAAACACUUGGAGACAUUCUUUGCAACUUGUGCUUCGCUCAUGCACUGAUGCAACUAAAUUUUAUGUGGCAAUCGUAUUUUGAUAACUUUGUUCUUUUGAUGCCACUUUGAAUGGUAAAUUCAAAAUUCUUCAUCUGCCUGCAGUAUGUAAGAGUGAUAAUGCUGAUCUGAGUAGCAAGUAGCCACCUCCACUAAUUAUGUCGAAAUUUAUUAGCACAUAAUUGUUCCUUGCAUUUUAAUAUCUUAAGUUUUUCAAAUUUGUUAAGUCAUUGAAGUUGUUUGAUAAGAUUAUACUUGCAGAGAGGGUUUGGGUUGCUUACUGUGAGUUAUUUGAACCUCGGGCACUUUUAUAGACAAUUCAUGAUUAUGAAGAAUGUAGUCGGCAUUUCAAGCAAAAGAAAUGUGUAUUUCUAUAAUGAAAUGCAUGCCUUCACUACUGGAAUCAAGAUAUUUAUUUUUGUCCCAUCCAUUUUUAAUAUGUUCUUAUCUUGCUUGGCUUCUUAUCCCUUUUUUUAAAGACUAAUUUAUUUGUUGAUGUGAAGUGCUUUUUGGUGUGUGCAUGGUAUCUUUUUUCGAACUUAUCUUUUUUCGAACUAUGUACAUAGUCCAUUUGUUGCUAUAUUACCACACAAAGAUAGACUAGCAAUUGUACCUUAAGGUUUAAUGGGCAUGGUAAUAGGUGCAGCAAGAUUUACCACAUUGCAACUAGAAAUACUAUGGUGUAUUAUUUGACCUAAAAUCUGUAGGUAAUGCUAAACAAUGAAGCGUGACCUUCGUAAUCUAUAUUCUAUAUUUGUCGUUUUUUAAAUUUUGCUGUGCAGUUUCAGAUAGGCUCCAGCAAGUUUCUUUUUUUAACAGAUAAUUGUAUGGGGUUUUAGUGGGGACCGUGGGAGAAAAUAGAAGGAUGAUUACAAAGUUUCCCAACGAAGUAGCUUAGAGAAACAAACACUAUAGCCUUUAAGCAAGCUUUUUGCUACCUUUAAGAAAAGGAAUCACUUUUUCUCUUUCAAAUGGGAUCUUACCGCCAUGCUAAGAGGCUUUUAUUUUUUAUCUUGCUUUCCUGUUGGUAAUAGUAGAUCAUUUGUCAUGUUCUUGUUCUCAGAAGCAAAAACUGGCUCCUCCUCAAAUCCUUUUCUCACUAUAAGAUCUGUCAUCUAUGGGGAAGUCAUCUUCUGAUGAAAAUGGAUUCAUGUUCUCUAAUUUCUGAAUGCUGAACAUUACAUACAUUACAUAUCAUUUUCAAAAGAAAUUGCUAAGAGGUUAAAAAUAUUUCAAGUAUUGUCAAAAGACAUUUGGUUUAAUCGCGAAGUCCAUGUUGUAGGCACUUAGAUGGUGCUGAGUUCAAAUCUUCUAUAAUACUCUAAAAAAAAGAGAAUAUCACAAUUAUUCAAUUUUGAACAUCUAGUUUCAAAUUUCCAAUGCUCUACCAAAUAGGCUUUUGGCUCUAGCCUCUUCACUACCCUCGCACCCACAUCCUUCCAUGUCCCCCUAAUUAUAGCCCCCUACACUAAGAGCCAUAUCCUUAGUUGCAGGUUGCUCUGCUGAUGUAGAAUUAUUCUUCAAAGCUACAUUUUUAAAUAAGGGAUGGGAAUCUAAAGAACAUACAACUAAAUGAUGUUCAAGGUAGCGUACUUCCACCAUGUUGAACACCUUGAGGAGCAUUUAGCAGUCCCAAUAGCGAAGGCGUACUUAUCCUAAUCAAAUGAUUUCCUUUUCAUCUUUUGAGGCAUAUUUUCACGUGGACUUUGAACAAAUCAAAAUUCACUGAGAUUUUAGUUAGUGUUGAGAGGAACAAAAGAGGGAUGGGUAAAUUUGGUAACCUUGUCCAAAUAGAAGAAACUAAAAAAAUUCCUUUGAGAGGGUUGAAUCUUGGAUACCAUGGCUUUAGGAAGAGUAUAGUUGUCUCCUAGGUGAAAGGACCCUUCUCUAUAAUUUUGUUUUUAUAUUCUAAUGACUCACAAGAACUACAAAGAAGCCCUA